rnacentral:rRNA from 1 species
CAGCCGCCGCGGGAAUACGUAGGUGGCAAGCGUUGUCCGGAUUUAUUGGGCGUAAAGCGAGCGCAGGCGGUUUCUUAAGUCUGAUGUGAAAGCCCCCGGCUCAACCGGGGAGGGUCAUUGGAAACUGGGAAACUUGAGUGCAGAAGAGGAGAGUGGAAUUCCAUGUGUAGCGGUGAAAUGCGUAGAUAUAUGGAGGAACACCAGUGGCGAAGGCGGCUCUCUGGUCUGUAACUGACGCUGAGGCUCGAAAGCGUGGGGAGCAAACAGGAUUAGAUACCCCUGUAGUCCCUGUCUCUUAUAC